UUUUCCGCAUUUCUGCUGGACAUCAAUAAUUUGCUGCAAUUCCAGUGACUUUCAGAUGCAGAUUUCAAUGUGAGCCUCCGACUGCAAUUGAAUUGUAACGUGGAGAUAAGAAUUGGAAGGUGACUAUGACGGAAGGUUACACCAUGAAUCUGCAGAAUGACACCGGGCUGGAAGUGAGACACCGCGCCGCAUUGCUCAAGGCUGAAUUUAAAGUGCUGGAACAAACCGAGAACUAUACACAAAUGCAGCUGGAGACAAAUCAAUGUUCUGAUCUGUGCCCCUCUUCUCACAAAUCUCUGCUGUUCUGUACAGAAAUACUUCUAUUCAGAUAAUCAAGAAGCUGCAAUUAAAAUGAGAACGAAACAAU